CUAAUACAUGCAGUCGAGCGGACAGAAGGGAGCUUGCUCCCGGAUGUUAGCGGCGGACGGGUGAGUAACACGUGGGUAACCUGCCUGUAAGACUGGGAUAACUCCGGGAAACCGGAGCUAAUACCGGAUAGUUCCUUGAACCGCAUGGUUCAAGGAUGAAAGACGGUUUCGGCUGUCACUUACAGAUGGACCCGCGGCGCAUUAGCUAGUUGGUGGGGUAAUGGCUCACCAAGGCGACGAUGCGUAGCCGACCUGAGAGGGUGAUCGGCCACACUGGGACUGAGACACGGCCCAGACUCCUACGGGAGGCAGCAGUAGGGAAUCUUCCGCAAUGGACGAAAGUCUGACGGAGCAACGCCGCGUGAGUGAUGAAGGUUUUCGGAUCGUAAAGCUCUGUUGUUAGGGAAGAACAAGUGCGAGAGUAACUGCUCGCACCUUGACGGUACCUAACCAGAAAGCCACGGCUAACUACGUGCCAGCAGCCGCGGUAAUACGUAGGUGGCAAGCGUUGUCCGGAAUUAUUGGGCGUAAAGGGCUCGCAGGCGGUUUCUUAAGUCUGAUGUGAAAGCCCCCGGCUCAACCGGGGAGGGUCAUUGGAAACUGGGAAACUUGAGUGCAGAAGAGGAGAGUGGAAUUCCACGUGUAGCGGUGAAAUGCGUAGAGAUGUGGAGGAACACCAGUGGCGAAGGCGACUCUCUGGUCUGUAACUGACGCUGAGGAGCGAAAGCGUGGGGAGCGAACAGGAUUAGAUA
rnacentral:rRNA from 2 species